rnacentral:rRNA from 1 species
UUCGAUUAAGCCAUGCGAGUCGAGAGUCCUCGGGACUCGGCGUACCGCUCAGUAACACGUGGGUAACCUGCCCUAUGCUGGGGAAUAACCUCGGGAAACUGAGAAUAAUGCCCCAUAGCCCACUACGCCUGGAACGGUGAGUGGGUCAAAGCCCCGGCGGCAUAGGAUGGGCCUGCGCCGUAUCAGGUUGUAGGGGGUGUAAAGUACCCUCUAGCCAUCAACGCGUACGGGUGUUGGGAGACAUUGCCCGGAGAUGGAUUCUGAGACACGAAUCCAGACCCUACGGGGUGCAGCAGGCGCGAAAACUUGGCAAUGCGAGCAAUCGUGACCAGGGAACUCCAAGUGCGUAGGGUAAGACCUACGCUUUUCUUGACUCUUCGAAGGUCUUGGAAUAAGGGGUGGGUAAGGACGGUGCCAGCCGCCGCGGUAAUACCGGCGCCUCAAGUGGUAGUCGCUUUUAUUGGGCCUAAAACGUCCGUAGCCGGUCUGGUGCAUUCGUGGGUAAAUCAACCCGCUCAACGGGUUGAAUUCUGCGAGCACGGCCAGACUUGGGACCGGGAGAGGUGUGGGGUACUCUCAGGGUAGGGGUAAAAUCCUGUCAUCCUGAGAGGACCACCUGUUGCGAAGGCGCCACACUAGAACGGAUCCGACGGUCAGGGACGAAACCUAGGGGCACGAACCGGAUUAGAUACCCGGGUAGUCCUAGGUGUAAACGCUGUGGACUUGAUGUUGGGGGCGCUCCGAGCGCUCUCAGUGUCGAAGCGAAGGUGAUAAGUCCACUGCCUGGGGAGUACGGUCGCAAGGCUGAAACUUAAAGGAAUUGGCGGGGGAGCACUGCAACCUGAGGAUUGUGCG